GACGAACCGUGCGAACGUUGUUCGGAAUCACUGGGCUUAAAGGGCGCGUAGGCGGACGGCCAAGUCCGGGGUGAAAUCCUCCAGCUCAACUGGAGAAUGGCCUCGGAUACUGGUUGUCUCGAGUGAGGUAGGGGCGUGCGGAACUGAUGGUGGAGCGGUGAAAUGUGUUGAUAUCAUCAGGAACUCCGGUGGCGAAGGCGGCGCGCUGGACCUCUUCUGACGCUGAGGCGCGAAAGCUAGGGGAGCGAACGGG
rnacentral:misc_RNA from 1 species